UACAGAGGUCUCAAGCGUUGUUCGGAUUCAUUGGGCGUAAAGGGUGCGUAGGUGGCGGGGCAAGUUUGGUGUGAAAUCCCGGGGCCUCAACCCCGGAACUGCACUGAAUACUGCUUUGCUUGAGCACUGGAGAGGGAACUGGAAUUUACGGUGUAGCAGUGGAAUGCGUAGAUAUCGUAAGGAAGACCAGUGGCGAAGGCGAGUUCCUGGACAGUUGCUGACACUGAGGCACGAAGGCUAGGGGAGCAAACGGG
rnacentral:rRNA from 1 species